AUUGAACGCUGGCGGCCGGCCUAACACAUGCAAGUCGAACGAGUGGCGGACGGGUGAGUAAUGUCUGGGAAACUGCCCGAUGGAGGGGGCUAACUACUGGAAACGGUAGCUAAUACCGCAUCCCAUCGGAUGUGCCCAGAUGGGAUUAGCUAGUAGGUGGGGUAACUGCGCACCUAGGCGACGAUCCCUAGCUGGUCUGAGAGGAUGACCAGCCACACUGGAAAUGAGACACGGCCCAGACUCCUACGGGAGGCAGCAGUGGGGAAUAUUGCACAAUGGGCGCAAGCCUGAUGCAGUCAUGCCGCGUGUAUGAAGAAGGCCUUCGGGUUGUAAAGCACUUUCAGCGAGGAGGCGUUACUCACAGAAGAAGCACCGGCUAACUCCGUGCCAGCAGCCGCGGUAAUUC
rnacentral:rRNA from 1 species